GACGAACGCUGGCGGCGUGCUUAACACAUGCAAGUCGAACGGAAAGGCCCUGCUUUUGUGGGGUGCUCGAGUGGCGAACGGGUGAGUAACACGUGAGUAACCUGCCCUUGACUGUGGGAUAACUUCAGGAAACUGGGGCUAAUACCGGAUAGGAGCUCCUGCUGCAUGGUGGGGGUUGGAAAGUUUCGGCGGUUGGGGAUGGACUCGCGGCUUAUCAGCUUGAUGGGGGGGUAGUGGCGUACGAAGGCUUUGACGGAUAGCCGGCCUGAGAGGGUGACCGGGCUCAUUAGGCCUGAGAGACGCACCAGACUGGAACGGGAGGCAGCAGGGGGGAGUCUUACACAGUGGGCGGAAGCGUGAGGCAACAGCGCCGCGUGCGGGAUGACGGCUUUCGGGUUAGAAACCGCUUUCGCCUGAGACGAAGCGUGAGUGACGGUACUGGGUAAAGAAGCACCGGCUAACUACGUG
rnacentral:rRNA from 1 species